rnacentral:miRNA from 1 species
AUUAUUAAAAUACAGACAUUGUGUGUGUGUGUGUGUGUGUGUGUAUGUAUGUAUAUAUAUAUACACACACACACACACACAAUGUCUGUAUUUU